rnacentral:rRNA from 1 species
CGAGGGGCAGCAUAUAGAUUGCUUGCAAUUUAUGAUGGCGACCGGCGCACGGGUGAGUAACGCGUAUCCAACCUACCCAUUACUAGGGAAUAACCCAGCGAAAGUUGGCCUAAUGCCCUAUGUAGUCGUUUGAUCGCCUGAGAUUUCGACGAAAGAUUUAUCGGUAUUGGAUGGGGAUGCGUCUGAUUAGCUUGUUGGCGGGGUAAAGGCCCACCAAGGCAACGAUCAGUAGGGGUUCUGAGAGGAAGGUCCCCCACAUUGGAACUGAGACACGGUCCAAACUCCUACGGGAGGCAGCAGUGAGGAAUAUUGGUCAAUGGGCGAGAGCCUGAACCAGCCAAGUAGCGUGCAGGAUGACGGCCCUAUGGGUUGUAAACUGCUUUUAUAUGGGAAUAAAGUGAGGGACGUGUCCCUUAUUGCAUGUACCAUACGAAUAAGGACCGGCUAAUUCCGUGCCAGCAGCCGCGGUAAUACGGAAGGUCCAGGCGUUAUCCGGAUUUAUUGGGUUUAAAGGGAGCGUAGGCUGUUUGUUAAGCGUGUUGUGAAAUGUAGGAGCUCAACUUUUAGAUUGCAGCGCGAACUGGCAGACUUGAGUGCGCACAACGUAGGCGGAAUUCAUGGUGUAGCGGUGAAAUGCUUAGAUAUCAUGACGAACUCCGAUUGCGAAGGCAGCUUACGGGAGCGCAACUGACGCU